CCAGCAACUUGGAAGAACGUAAGGCGCAAUCCCGCGUCGUUGUGAUAAAUUAUCAUAGAAGUAACUCUGUUACAUUAAGUUCUAGGUAAAUAUUUGAUAAUGACAAAAUUUAUCUAUAAGUCUUGACUAAUUCUCGUGCCAGCAGUUGCGGUAAGACGAGUAAGACAAGUGUUAUUCAUCUUUAUUUGGUUUAAAGGGUACUCAGACAGUUAAUUAAGCCUGUAUUUAAGAGGGAACUGGUUAAACUAGAGUUUAAUAGGAUAAGGCUAGAACGGUGAGUGUAGAGAUAAAAUACGUUGAUACCACUUAGAUGCUGGCAACGGCGAAAGCAACCUUUUAUGUAAAAACUGACGUUAAAGGACGAAGGCCCAAGUUAAGUAACAGGAUUAGAUACCCCAGUACUAAGGGCAGACAAUGAUGAGUGUCAUAGGUAAGUAAAAUAAUAUUUAUUAAAUUAU
rnacentral:rRNA from 1 species